CAAAGUAGGCAAUGAAAAUUCUACCUGUGUUCGGAUACUGCCAAACAAUUAAUUGUUGUUUUCGAAGGGAUUCGGAGCAGCGGUUAUGAAAUUAGAUUGAUAUGAUGAAAAAUAUUAUUUAACGAAAUAGAUUUGUUCGCAGCUCUAAAGGCAGCUAAAGUAUUCACAAGUGUUUUGCAAUGUAAUUUAUUAAAUAUUGUUAAAGGACGGUGUGAACGGAAGGCCAUUUUAUAUCCAGUAUUUGUUUUCUUCUUAAUUGAUUGACGAGGCAACAGCCGGAAGGAAAGCCCUGUAACAUAUGUUUAGGGAAAAUGCAAGAAGUUAUGCUAAGAAAAAUUGUGGUAA